GCGAUCAUACUACCACUAAUGCACUAGAUCCUAUCAGAACACCGUAAUUAAUCGUGCUUGGGCGAGAGCAGUACCAGGAUGAAUGACCCCCUAGGAAGUCCUCAUGUUGCACUA